rnacentral:rRNA from 1 species
UGGGGAAUAUUGCACAAUGGGCGCAAGCCUGAUGCAGCCAUGCCGCGUGUGUGAAGAAGGCCUUCGGGUUGUAAAGCACUUUCAGCGGGGAGGAAGGCGAUAAGGUUAAUAACCUCAUCGAUUGACGUUACCCGCAGAAGAAGCACCGGCUAACUCCGUGCCAGCAGCCGCGGUAAUACGGAGGGUGCAAGCGUUAAUCGGAAUUACUGGGCGUAAAGCGCACGCAGGCGGUCUGUCAAGUCGGAUGUGAAAUCCCCGGGCUCAACCUGGGAACUGCAUUCGAAACUGGCAGGCUAGAGUCUUGUAGAGGGGGGUAGAAUUCCAGGUGUAGCGGUGAAGUGCGUAGAGAUCUGGAGGAAUACCGGUGGCGAAGGCGGCCCCCUGGACAAAGACUGACGCUCAGGUGCGAAAGCGUGGGGAGCAAACAGG